GGGCAGGUUGAAGGUUGGGUAACACUAACUGGAGGACCGAACCGACUAAUGUUGAAAAAUUAGCGGAUGACUUGUGGCUGGGGGUGAAAGGCCAAUCAAACCGGGAGAUAGCUGGUUCUCCCCGAAAGCUAUUUAGGUAGCGCCUCGUGAAUUCAUCUCCGGGGGUAGAGCACUGUUUCGGCAAGGGGGUCAUCCCGACUUACCAACCCGAUGCAAACUGCGAAUACCGGAGAAUGUUAUCACGGGAGACACACGGCGGGUGCUAACGUCCGUCGUGAAGAGGGAAACAACCCAGACCGCCAGCUAAGGUCCCAAAGUCAUGGUUAAGUGGGAAACGAUGUGGGAAGGCCCAGACAGCCAGGAUGUUGGCUUAGAAGCAGCCAUCAUUUAAAGAAAGCGUAAUAGCUCACUGGUCGAGUCGGCCUGCGCGGAAGAUGUAACGGGGCUAAACCAUGCACCGAAGCUGCGGCAGCGACACUGUGUGUUGUUGGGUAGGGGAGCGU
rnacentral:rRNA from 1 species